GUCAAGGAAAAGGAGCCGGUAUCAGGCUCAAUUUUAAGCCCACGACACCUAGCCACGCCACGCCCACAAGGGUAUUCAGCAGUGAUAAACCUUGUUUAUAAGCGCAAGCUUGAAUCAGUCAUGGCAAAGAGGGCCGGCAAAUCCGGUGCCAGCCGCCGCGGCUACACCGUUAGGCCCAAGUUGACACACACCGGCGUUAAGCGUGAUUAGAGUGAUUACACUGAUUAGAGUUAAACCCGAACUUAGUCGUGAUACACUUGUUCCCGGGAAACCCAAAAACGAAAGUUACUCUAACCAACCCACUUGACCCCACGACAGCUAGGACACAAACUGGGAUUAGGUACCCCACUAUGCCUAGCCGUAAAAUAUAUACUCACCCCCACAAAUCGCCAGGGAAUUACGAGCCCAAGCUUAAAACCCAAAGGACUUGACGGUGUCCCACCCACCUAGAGGAGCCUGUUCUAUAAUCGAUUCCCCCCGAUAAACCUCACCACUUCUGGCCAACUCAGCCUGUAUACCUCCGUCGUAAGCUUACCAUGUGAACGAAACCAGUGAGCCAAAAGAUCCAACAUCAGUACGUCAGGUCAAGGUGCAGCUAACGAACUGGAAAGAAAUGGGCUACAAUUUCUACCAUAGAACAAACGAAAGGCUACAUGAAACAUAGUCACUGAAGGCGGAUUUAGCAGUAAAAAGAAAA
rnacentral:rRNA from 1 species